AUGAGCAUCCAUCAGGAGGAGGACGCAAAGUCGGGGAUAUUUGCUAUGAAUAGAGCUUUAUCAUCCGAGGAAUUUGUGAGGUUGGUGGUUACUUUAUGGGCCAUUUGGGGCGCACGUAGGAAGGCCAUUCAUGAGGAUAUCUUCAAAAGCCCUCAUGCGAUACAUGGGCACAUAACUUCUUAUCUGAUGGAGGUGAAGGCUCUAUCAAACAAAGCUGAGGCGGGGAGUAGGGUACAGCAGCGGCGCACGGGGUGGAUUGCACCUCCUGAUCAUCAUGCUAAGCUGAAUGUCGAUGCCGCUGUCAUUAAGGGACGCGUAGGAGCGGUUGGAGUGGUCUGCCGAAAUGAGCAGGGAAUGUUUCUUGGAGCAUCGGCGAUAGUUUUUAACAGCAUUGAUGAUCCGGCGACACUGGAGGCUAUGGCCAUUCGAGAGGGGCUGGCUCUAGCAGAAGAUUUGAACCUACAUCAACAACAAUUGCUUCCUAUUGUGAAGGAGUGGUAA
rnacentral:rRNA from 1 species